AUGAUGUCCUUCUUCCGCGGCCCCCUCCUCGGACCUCCUCCGCUGGGAAGGUUCCUUGGCCCCUUGAGCCCCUUUGUGGCCACGGCCUCCGUCCUGGUGAAGGCGCCUGGACCUGCGGCGGACCCUCUUCCCACAGCCCUUGCGGAUCCUUUCGCAGCUGAAACCAAACCCUCUGCUCUCCCUGCGCGGCAGCAUCGUCCAGCCAGAGCCCGUUCUCCGGCCGCCCAGCCAGUCCCUCCGCCCGACCGGGCCCCGCUCUCCGUCCUUUCCUGCUGUGCAAAGGAACCAUGUUCGCCCUCUUUGUUUGGGGACUGGGAUCCGGCACAAGCCAAACGACACAAUGUGCAGUGAAGAGAUGCCACCCAAACACCCUCCGCGGAGAUGAACCAAAGCCCGAAGCGUUGCCGUAACUUGCAUAUUUCGCCCCUUUCUGUAUCCGGAGCCAUUUGUUUGCCAUUGAAUUGCUUAUAUAUAUAAAAAAUAAAGUUGAGCAAGAACUGUGUGUGAAUCCUGGGGGAAUCCUUUGACACUAAAUAAAGAACAACACUCUGAAAACAGGGGAAUUCCAGGCAUGAAACAAUCACGGCCAGCUCACGCCUCCCAACACAGGAUUCCCCCAGGCAGGAAGCAGCCAGCCUCUGAAGCUGCAAGGCAAUUGAAUACUAAUCAAUACUAAUUUAAAUUAAUAUUAAAUCAAUAUUAAAUAUUAAUUUAAUUAAAUAUUAAAUCAAUUAAUACUAAUACUAAUAUAAACCAUGUCUCCUGUGUCAAUAUAACAAUAUAUAAUAUUCAUAUGAUGCUAUACUAAUAAUAUAUUGUAUAUACA
rnacentral:lncRNA from 11 species